rnacentral:rRNA from 1 species
CCUACGGGAGGCUGCAGUGAGGAAUAUUGGUCAAUGGACGGAAGUCUGAACCAGCCAUGCCGCGUGCAGGAAGACGGCUCUAUGAGUUGUAAACUGCUUUUGUACAAGGGUAAACCUGAAUACGUGUAUUCAGCUGAAAGUACUGUACGAAUAAGGAUCGGCUAACUCCGUGCCAGCAGCCGCGGUAAUACGGAGGAUCAAAGCGUUAUCCGGAUUUAUUGGGUUUAAAGGGUGCGUAGGCGGAUUGAUAAGUUAGAGGUGAAAUGUCCGAGCUUAACUCGGGAACUGCCUCUAAUACUGUUGUUCUAGAGAGUAGAUGCGGUAGGCGGAAUGUAUGGUGUAGCGGUGAAAUGCUUAGAGAUCAUACAGAACACCGAUGGCGAAGGCAGCUUACCAAUCUAUAUCUGACGUUGAGGCACGAAAGCGUGGGGAGCAAACAGGAUUAGAUACCCCUGUAGUC